rnacentral:rRNA from 1 species
GGCUGUCGUCAGCUCGUGUUGUGAAAUGUUGGGUUAAGUCCCGCAACGAGCGCAACCCUUAUCCUUUGUUGCCAGCGGUCCGGCCGGGAACUCAAAGGAGACUGCCAGUGAUAAACUGGAGGAAGGUGGGGAUGACGUCAAGUCAUCAUGGCCCUUACGACCAGGGCUACACACGUGCUACAAUGGCGCAUACAAAGAGAAGCGACCUCGCGAGAGCAAGCGGACCUCAUAAAGUGCGUCGUAGUCCGGAUUGGAGUCUGCAACUCGACUCCAUGAAGUCGGAAUCGCUAGUAAUCGUGGAUCAGAAUGCCACGGUGAAUACGUUCCCGGGCCUUGUACACACCGCCCGUCACACCAUGGGAGUGGGUUGCAAAAGAAGUAGGUAGCUUAACCUUCGGGAGGGCGCUUACCACUUUGUGAUUCAUGACUGGGGUGAAGUCGUAACAAGGUAACCGUAGGGGAACCUGCGGUUGGAUCACCUCCUUACCUUAAAGAAGC